GAAUAACAAUAUCGUAUUCUAAAGACAGCUGGUGGAGCAAUCCGUAAAUCCAGCCGAGGAAUGUGCAAUGUGAAAACAGACGCUCUUUUCUCUUUGUCGAAAAGGCGUUUUUUUAUUGCGAUU
rfam:Ruminococcus sp. CAG:403 genomic scaffold, scf129